rnacentral:rRNA from 1 species
ACUCAAAUGAAUAGACGGGGGCCCGCACAAGCGGCGGAGCGUGCGGUUUAAUUCGACGCAACGCGCAGAACCUUACCAGGGCUUGACAUGCUCCUGCGAGACCGGGAAACCGGGAAGCCUUCGAGGGAGGAGCACAGGUGCUGCAUGGCUGUCGUCAGCUCGUGUCGUGAGAUGUUGGGUUAAGUCCCGCAACGAGCGCAACCCCCGUGAGUAGUUGCCGAUGUUUCUACUCAGACUGCCGCGAGCAACGCGGAGGAAGGUGGGGAUGAUGUCAAGUCAGCAUGGCCCUUACGUCCUGGGCAACACGCACGCUACAAUGGAUGGGACAGCGGGUAGCCAAGCCGCAAGGCGGAGCGAAUCCCCCAAACCCAUUCUCAGUUGGAAUUGUGGGCUGCAACUCGCCCGCAUGAACGUGGAGUCGCUAGUAACCGCAGGUCAGCACUACUGCGGUGAAUACGUUCCCGGGCCUUGUACACACCGCCCGU